rnacentral:rRNA from 1 species
AGUGGCGAACGGGUGAGUAACACGUGGGUGAUCUGCCCUGCACUUUGGGAUAAGCCUGGGAAACUGGGUCUAAUACCGGAUAGGACUACGCGAUGCAUGUCGUGUGGUGGAAAGCUUUUGCGGUGUGGGAUGGGCCCGCGGCCUAUCAGCUUGUUGGUGGGGUGAUGGCCUACCAAGGCGACGACGGGUAGCCGGCCUGAGAGGGUGACCGGCCACACUGGGACUGAGAUACGGCCCAGACUCCUACGGGAGGCAGCAGUGGGGAAUAUUGCACAAUGGGCGCAAGCCUGAUGCAGCGACGCCGCGUGAGGGAUGACGGCCUUCGGGUUGUAAACCUCUUUCAGUGCCGACGAAGCGCAAGUGACGGUAGGCAUAGAAGAAGGACCGGCCAACUACGUGCCAGCAGCCGCGGUAAUACGUAGGGUCCGAGCGUUGUCCGGAAUUACUGGGCGUAAAGAGCUCGUAGGUGGUUUGUCGCGUUGUUCGUGAAAACUCACAGCUCAACUGUGGGCGUGCGGGCGAUACGGGCAGACUUGAGUACUGCAGGGGAGACUGGAAUUCCUGGUGUAGCGGUGGAAUGCGCAGAUAUCAGGAGGAACACCGGUGGCGAAGGCGGGUCUCUGGGCAGUAACUGACGCUGAGGAGCGAAAGCGUGGGGAGCGAACAGGAUUAGAUACCCUGGUAGUCCACGCCGUAAACGGUGGGUACUAGGUGUGGGUUUCCUUCCUU